CGCGGCCUAUCAGCUUGUUGGUGAGGUAACGGCUCACCAAGGCGUCGACGGGUAGCCGGCCUGAGAGGGCGACCGGCCACACUGGGACUGAGAUACGGCCCAGACUCCUACGGGAGGCAGCAGUGGGGAAUAUUGCGCAAUGGGCGAAAGCCUGACGCAGCAACGCCGCGUGCGGGAUGACGGCCUUCGGGUUGUAAACCGCUUUCAGCAGGGACGAAGGGUUACCUUGACGGUACCUGCAGAAGAAGCACCGGCUAACUACGUGCCAGCAGCCGCGGUGAUACGUAGGGUGCGAGCGUUGUCCGGAAUUAUUGGGCGUAAAGAGCUUGUAGGCGGUCUGUUGCGUCGGAAGUGAAAACUCAGGGCUUAACCCUGAGCCUGCUUUCGAUACGGGCAGACUUGAGGGAUGUAGGGGAGAACGGAAUUCCUGGUGGAGCGGUGGAAUGCGCAGAUAUCAGGAGGAACACCAGUGGCGAAGGCGGUUCUCUGGACAUUUCCUGACGCUGAGAAGCGAAAGCGUGGGGAGCAAACAGGCUUAGAUACCCUGGUAGUCCACGCCGUAAACGGUGGGCACUAGGUGUGGGUUCCAUUCCACGUUCUCCGUGCCGCAGCUAACGCAUUAAGUGCCCCGCCUGGGGAGUACGG
rnacentral:rRNA from 1 species